CCUACGGGAGGCUGCAGUGGGGAAUAUUGCACAAUGGGCGCAAGCCUGAUGCAGCGACGCCGCGUGAGCGAUGAAGGCCUUCGGGUCGUAAAGCUCUGUCCUAAGGGAAGAAUAAUGACGGUCCCUUAGGAGGAAGCCCCGGCUCACUACGUGCCAGCAGCCGCGGUAAUACGUAGGGGGCGAGCGUUAUCCGGUAUCACUGGGCGUAAAGGGUGCGUUGGCGGCCCUGCAAGUCAGGAGUUAAGUCCCUCGGCUCACCCGAGGCCAGCUCUUGUAACUGUAGGGCUUGAGUGCUGAAGAGGAGAGCGGAAUUCCUAGAGUAGCGGGGAAAUGCGUUGAGAUUAGGAGGAGCAACAGUGGCGUAGGCGCCUCUCUAGACUGCAACUGACGCGGCGGCACGAAAGCGUGGGGAGCGAACAGGAUUAGAUACCCCGGUAGUC
rnacentral:rRNA from 1 species